GACAGAGGAUGCAAGCGUUAUCCGGAAUCACUGGGCGUAAAGCGCACGUAGGCGGCUUUCUAAGUCAGGGGUGAAAUCCUGGAGCUCAACUCCAGAACUGCCUUUGAUACUGGGAAGCUCGAGUCCGGAAGAGGUAAGUGGAACUCCGAGUGUAGAGGUGAAAUUCGUAGAUAUUCGGAAGAACACCAGUGGCGAAGGCGGCUUACUGGUCCGGUACUGACGCUGAGGUGCGAAAGCGUGGGGAGCAAACAGG
rnacentral:rRNA from 1 species